rnacentral:rRNA from 1 species
UGAGCAAUCUGCCCUUCUCAUCGGAAUAAGCGUUGGAAACGACGUCUAAUGCCGAAUACGACCUCCUUUCGCAUGAUCGGAGGUGGAAAGCUCCGGCGGAGAAGGAUGAGCUCGCGGCCUAUCAGCUAGUUGGUGUGGGUAAUGGCCCACCAAGGCGACGACGGGUAGCCGGCCUGGGAGGGUGACCGGCCACACUGGGACUGAGACACGGCCCAGACUCCUACGGGAGGNAG